UGUGACAUACCUAUAACGUUGCCUCGGCGGGAACAGACGGCCCCGUAACACGGGCCGCCCCCGCCAGAGGACCCCCUAACUCUGUUUCUAUAAUGUUUCUUCUGAGUAAACAAGCAAAUAAAUUAAAACUUUCAACAACGGAUCUCUUGGCUCUGGCAUCGAUGAAGAACGCAGCGAAAUGCGAUAAGUAAUGUGAAUUGCAGAAUUCAGUGAAUCAUCGAAUCUUUGAACGCACAUUGCGCCCGCCAGUAUUCUGGCGGGCAUGCCUGUUCGAGCGUCAUUACAACCCUCAGGCCCCCGGGCCUGGCGUUGGGGAUCGGCGGAAGCCCCCUGCGGGCACAACGCCGUCCCCCAAAUACAGUGGCGGUCCCGCCGCAGCUUCCAUUGCGUAGUAGCUAACACCUCGCAACUGGAGAGCGGCGCGGCCACGCCGUAAAACACCCAACUUCUGAAUGUUGACCUCGAAUCAGGUAGGAAUACCCGCUGAACUUAAGCAUAUCAAA
rnacentral:rRNA from 1 species